AAUAUCUAUACUAUAUUAAAAGGGAUAUAUAAUCAACAGAGAGAGUGUCCACGUCAUUAAUAAAAUCAGCCAAUUACGAAGUUUUAAAUCGCCAGGUCAUAUUCGCAUAUGUCUCGCCUAAUCCCUAAUUUCGUCUGAAGCGCAGAGAGUUCGUCCGAUUCCAUGAGACGAAUCAUCAUCUAUCUCAUCUCGCUGCUGCUGAAUCCGUACGAGACGAUCCGUUCGAUCUGUUCUCUCGAGCCAGCGUACCAACCAUAUUUGAAGUUCGGAUCUCCACCGUUCUUCCUCGCCAUGGCCUCCGUGAAGAUGCGAAAGGCUAGAGACUUGGCUCUCGUGGUGAUCGCGUUCGGAGAUUUCUUACGUAUAGUGACGAUCGUGGUGGCGUUAGCGAUAGUGGCGCUUAAGCCGGAGAGGAAACACGUGGUGAUGAUGUCGUGCUCUUAGUUCCCUUCGCGGAGAAGAAUCGUUGAGUCGGUCGAGGAGGAGGAGGCAUCCUAACUAAUUGAGUUCUCUGUGGUUUAUUAUUUUUUAUGUGUGAAAAGGAUCUCACUUUGAGUAAUAGCUCCAGCAAAAGUUGCUAUUAGUCUUGAUUUUGGAGAGUUUCUCGCCGUCAAACAGGUUAAUUUGAAAACUCUGUCUCUGAUUUUGAAUAUUGUAAUUUUACUCUGCAAUUUGUUUUAAAAUUCCCCUUUCUCCCUGAAGUUUGAUUCUUAUGAUGAGUUUUUCGGUGAUCUGUGGGCUCUCCAAGCUCAUUCCUUCUACAUCCCAUCACCUUAAUUUGUUUAAUUACUCAUGUAUUCUAUAAUUUUUUUGGGUGUUUACUCUAACGUUAUUAUUGUUGUUUUUAUUGACUGGAUUUUAGUUGCUAAUAAACAUACAUGUUUCUUUGUUGAUAUUGUCCUCCGACUUCUCUUUCAUCAUAUUAUCUUAGUUAUUUCUCUACAAUGAUUUGAUUUAUUCAUGACUUUCCUACUUUUGUUCAUCAUAUUCAGAAGCUGGAAAAGAAAGUUAAGCUUCUCAAGAAUCACUCACAUCCAAAUAUAGUUGUAAGCAAUAAAAGCUUUUGUAUUUCUUUCAAUAUUUGAUAGACCCACCACGUUUUUGUUUCUUUUAUUCUUUUGUGGGCACUAAAGGUAUUUACGCACAGUGAGAGAAUGAAACUUUGAACAUUUUCCAUAUCAUACUAUAUUCCAGAGCGUCGAAAACCAUGGCGAAUCCUCAAGUUCUUUUGUAUGAGUUGAACGUUUAUUGGUGCAAGAAAAAUUGCAGUGGCCAAACGUCGGUGUCAGUGUUUUGGAUAGAUUCGCCAACCUCCUUUAUAUAUGGUUCCUUUAGUUGAUUGCAAGCUACUUGUAUGAUUAAUGAUUGUUAGUUAACUUUUUAGACACAGAAACCUCCUCUAUAAUGUAUGUGUUUUUAACAACUUAGCCACUACCGACCACCACUUCCAGACUUUGGAGGUCAUGUAAGUACUAUUAAUUAUUUUGCAGGGAAGGGAUAACCAGCCUGGUGAUGACAUGCUUGGAGCUGGAGCGGUUAAAACCAAUCCUACUGAUAGGUUUAACAGUGCAUCGCCUGAGAAAAUACCUGAUGGUGAUAAUGCUGGAAUGCUUUAAGAAAGUGCUGUCGACCCUGCUCUUCCAACUGUUCUGUCUCGAUAAAUCAACAGAUAAGAAAUUAAGAAUGAACCACUAAUGGAGGAGAAGGUUGAAGGGAAGAAGCCACACGUGACUUAACUUCACAGGCUUAGGAGAGCCAAAGGUCAGAAUGGACAACCUCUACUCUUUCGCAUUUCUGUUUUUAAAUGUUUCCACUUUGACUUUGUCUACUGUUUCCUGAAAUUAAACCAGCUGCUGGUUGUGUUUUAACUUUUAGUUGUAGUUGUUACAAGGGAAAGGUAUUCGUUAUAUGUUUAUAAAUAAAAGUUCCUUUAAAUC